rnacentral:rRNA from 1 species
GAGUCGUACCUUCGGGUAAUCAGCCUUUCGAGUGCGAUUCUGUGGAGUGUGAGGAGCUAAACACCUUCAUGCCUGCAUAUUCGUGCACAUUUGGGUACUUGUCCGUGUGGUGGGUUAACAUCAA